UGCCCCAUGGCUGAGUUGGUUACAGCGUCCGACUGUUAUUCAACACGCAAUCGGAAGGUCGUGAGUUCGAGCCUCACUGGGGCAG